CAGGAGGGGGCUCCUAGACCAUGGGUGGGUCCUGGAGGCGGCUCUGUUCCCCCCCACGCGCCUGCAUUUGAUUUUCUGCAGCCCAGUGAGCCACAUAUCAUCCCCUGGCAUCACUCUAUCCUAAAGAUCAUCUGUAGGGGCCCCAGGGUGGGAGACUAUGCAUGGAGCUGGGGCUGGGACUGGGGCAUGCACCUCAAGGGCUGCAGGAAGUAUGUGGACACUGCCUCAUCCUCAGGAAGGAACGUGCCUUAGUGGUUGGUGCACAGCACUGGGAGUCCAUGGCUGGCAUCUCGGGGACCUUUGGCUAGUCAUUGCACCCCUCUGUGCCUCCAUUUCCCUCUCUGUAAAAUGGGCAGAACUGUCUCCAAAGCCUCCUUUCAGGGAAUCUGGAGGGAGGAAGGAUACAAGACUUACAGUCAGUAGCCAGUCUCCAGUGCUUUGGAUGGCAGGGGACAGAGGGGGGAGAAGUGUCACUCACAGCGCCACGGAGGGAAGCCAGGUGGGAACUGCAUGUGUGGGAGGCCAAACAGAGACAUAAGACCUGAACAACACAGGUCUGACAACACAGGUCUCAUGCUGCCAAAGGAUAAGAAGUACAUAGAUGGAAGAAACAGUAGAUGUCAAGGCAUGUAAAUGAGGAGAUGCUAUGCUAGUUUGGACAUGUGUUAUGUAGUUUCAUAGUAGUUUGGGGUCAGAAGGGAUCAUCUAGUCUGACCCCCCACCACUGGCAGGAGCACACGCUGGGAUCACACAACCCCAGACAGGUCUGACAACACAGAAUCUGAAGCACUGCAGCCGCUCAACAGCUCCAGUCAGCCCAGAGAGAUCUUGGGGACUACGGUGCUACGGAGACAAAGCGGGGACAGCAUCACGUGGACCUUUAUUGCAGGCCUCCCUACAUUGCCACCAGGAACAUGCACAGACUUCCAGCGUACUCCACCUUGGCCUUCGCCCAGCAGCACCGCAGUCGCCCCAAUGGCAGGAAAGAACGAGCCUUAGCCUCUUGGCGUAGGGAGAGGACAACAGGAUGGAACGAAGUGUGCGGAGGUCCUGGUGCCAUUGUUUGCUGUUCCCCGAGACGUGUAGGCUCAGCCGCGGCUCCUUCAACCGACAGUUCCUCCCCGCGAGGAGCACAGAAGGUGCAGAACCUCUGGCAGGACCAGGCUCAAUGUCCUGGCAGAGGUGUCUUCAGAGUCAGGGGCAGCCUAUCCCCCAGCUCCCAGCCCUGGGCCACAUUAGCACAUGAUUCUUAUCUCUCUCACCUUUUUCUUUUUUGAAAUUAAAAUUAUAUAUGUAUGUGAGAGAGUUAUAUACACAUAUACACCCCCCACACACCCUCCGUUAUAAACUUUCCAUCACACAUCUUAAAACUGCAUUAAGAAACCUGCACUUUCCGUUACAACAAAUGCACCCACUCCCCUGCACACCUACCCUCCACCCUCACCUACCCCAAUCACACUCCUAUGUAAACCCCAAAUUGGGGUUUGGGCUAUUCUCAGUUCAUUCGCUGUCCUUAUCACUGUCACUUCUGCUGCUGCUAAUCCUGUUGCAGUCCUUCUUGCUGUCUCCAGGUCCAGCUGCAUCUCUGUCCCCUUCGUUCUCUCUGUCCACUUUCCCUCCUGAGGGGUCUUUGAACAACCAGUGCCAGGUGUCGCUUUUCCAGAUGAAGUUGGCUGCAUCUUCUCCAUCCUCACUCACCAAUUUCUGGCAGUAGGACUAAAGUUC